ACCAAAAUACGCCAUUCUCUCAUCUCAGUCAAAAAUAACGCCUGAUCAUCCUUCCCUUCCGCUGCACAGUGAGUGGAUAUCAAGCUCGCUUACUCAUCCUUCCCCUCCACACAAUAUUGCAGAGGAGGAGAAGGAGGAGCUUCUUGAAAGCCAAAUCAUGUACACAACUUUCAAACUUCUUCUCAAUUGUAGACAAUGGAAAGAAUUUCACUCAAGUCGACAGCAUUUUUUGUUAUCUUCUUUCUUGCCUCUUCUGGUUUGUGGGGGGAAUAUGAAGGAGGAGCAGAAGCAUUUCAUUUAAGAUGUCCUAGGACGAUAGAUUGCAAUCAAGUGUGUAAUGGCUUCCCUAAUUGUUGCAUUGAUGGGCAAUGCUAUUGUAAUCCUUGCCCUUCCAUUGCCCAUCAGCACCUACCUUUAAAUGUCUAAGCUUAACCCCUCCUAAUAAUAAAUGAGUUUUAUCAGUAAAAUAAUGGAUUUUUUCUCCUUAA